GACGAACGCUGGCGGCGUGCUUAACACAUGCAAGUCGAACGGGUCUGCCCUGUUUUUUGCGGGGUGGGUCAGUGGCGAACGGGUGAGUAACACGUGAGUAACCUGCCCCUCACUUCUGGAUAACCGCUUGAAAGGGUGGCUAAUACGGGGUGUUCUGGCUGUGCCGCAUGGUGUGGCUGGGAAAGAUUCACUUUUGUGGUGUUUUGGUGGGGGAUGGGCUCGCGGCCUAUCAGCUUGUUGGUGGGGUGAUGGCCUGCCAAGGCUUUGACGGGUAGCCGGCCUGAGAGGGUGGGCGGUCACACUGGGACUGAGAUACGGCCCAGACUCCUGCGGGAGGCAGCAGUGGGGGGUAUUGCGCAAUGGGCGGAAGCCUGAUGCAGCGACGGCGCGUGAGGGAUGGAGGCCUUCGGGUUGUGAACCUCUUUCGCCGGUGAAGAAGGUCCUGCUCUUUGUGGUGGGGUUGACGGUAGCCGGGUUAUGAAGCGCCGGCUAACUACGUG
rnacentral:rRNA from 1 species